CUUUUGUUUUCUUCCUUUGAUCAUCAACGUUUUUCCUGAUCACCAUACUAAUCACAUCGGACGUCCGGUUUGGCUUGAGUAAGAAGACGCUCGGUCCAACUACAUCAUGCUGGGUGUUUGUUUAUGGGGACUAAAGUUUAGUCUCUAGUCAUAUCGAAUGUUUGGACAGUUAUUAUAAAUAAACGUAAACUAUUAAUAAAACUCAUCCAUAAUCUUAGACUAAUUCAUCAGACGAAUCUAAUGAGCCUAAUUAAUCCAUGAUUAGCCUAUGUGAUGCUACAAUAAACAUUUACUAAUUAUGGAUUAAUUAGGCUUAAAAAAUUUGUCUCGCAGAUUAGGUCUUAUUUAUAAAAUUAGUUUUUUU
rnacentral:lncRNA from 1 species